AAGUAACAUCUUGAAAUUUCACCUCUGAAGUGACAGGUUUGGGCUCUUCAGAGUUCUUGAUAUAUUAUUGAGCUAUGACAUUUGAAUUAGCUUCAUGAAACCAUAUAAAUAUUUUUUGCUGGCCUUGUAAGUGUCAUUAUGAGCUGGUUUUUAUCAUUACUUUAAUUUCAGAGGCUGAUGUGAGCAACUUCUCCUUUGACAGUCAGGGAAUUUCAGAAUGAGAAGUAGGCUUGCAAUCUAUUUGCACAACAGACUGAAAGUACCUUUCUUCUGUGGGUUUGAUUUGAUUGCCUUACAAUUGUCCCUGUCAUCAUCACCAUGGAAUGAAGGUCGUGAGGUGUGCUGUGCAAUGAGCUGGAGAAUUUGCUUUCAGAUCAUCGGUGGGUGGAAUGGGCUCUGCUCAGAGGAGAAGCUGGUAUUUUUAUCCAGCCUCCACAAAGCCCCCAGCUCUUGGCAGUAAUGUGUCCUGGGCCUCUGACUCGCUUCUCCCCCUUCCAAGCCGGCUCAUUUUCUGAGUGUUUCUUCUUCUUCCCUGACUCCUUCCAAGGUGUUUACAGAUGACCCCCAUCUCAGGAGCCAAACCCUUGCCUGCGUCUGUUCAGCCUUCUCUGCUUCUCGUCACUCACCCAGCAUAGAGAUCUCAUUCUGGAGUUUGAACCUCGGCCCCCCAUUUAUGACCUGUGUUAACUUGGGAAAAUUACUUCACCUCUAUUGGCCUCGAUUUCUUCGUCUGUAAAAUGGGACCGAUAGUAGUCCUUCUACAUCUGAGUUCAUUCAAGGAGAGUGGACAGUGAAGAAACCCUAGGAGAAGCUCACCUCAAAUACCAGGAAACUUGGAACCAGGGAGAAUUUCAGGACACAAAGGGAACGAAAGAGAUCUGUUUGGUGGUCUUACAUCUGUUCAGUCCAUGAGGACCGAUCGUGCUCCACUUUUCCCAAUUUAGUUUUACUGCAUUUCUUGGUAGAACCACCCACUUGGAUCUGCUCAAUGACAUAUGGCUGGAUUCCUCAUCAUCACGGGUUUUUUUCUUGCCCAACACAUCUGGAAUAAAAUGGAUUGGAAAAAUUACGUUUCCACAUUGAGGAAAGGAAAAAGAUGGUAGGUGGUUACCGCUUCCAUCAAAAUACUUCUCAAAUACGGCUAGCAUCCUUUAUAAUUUCAGGUACACUGCACUUAUUUUGCCUUGGAAAAGGCAAAUGCCUUUCGUUUAUUCAUUUUAUACGUGUGAGAAGAAUGAUGAUUCAACUAAUCUGGUCAAUUCCAGAAUAUGAAAGUGGGGGUACUGAGAAUUCCAGCCCCUUUGUUUGUUAGAAGAGACAAGUUGUGUUUACCUGCUACCAAAACAAUUUGAAGACAAGUUGGAAAUUAAUGUAAACCAGCAUCAUGCAAUCCUAAAUCCUCCAGUUCUUUGGCUGAAUCCAAUUCUUGUUGCUUUGGUGGUUGCUUUUAGUGAAACUGUUUUAUGCAGAUAAAGUAAGUCUUGGUAGAUUAAUGAUGGCCACAAAUUCUCUGUGACUUUUCCCACUGAGGGGGAGAGUCUGGCCUCAGAGGCUUGCUUGAGUGUGGCAGAAGUGUCACUGUGUGACUCCUAGGCUAGGUCAUAAGAAGUCUUUGUCUCUGGAAUACUUUCUGGAGUCCUGAGCUGUCCUCUGGUCGGUCACUUACCCUUCACAUGGGAGUGAUGUUAUCUGAAGCCUACAGACCAGUCCAUCUAGUCAAUACCAUAAGGGACAAUGGAAUCACUCAGCUAAGCCCUGCCUGAAUCCCUUAACCACAAAGUUUUGAGGUAAUACAAUCAUUGUUGACUUAAACCCAAUAAAUAACCUAACACACAAAAAGGUAUGUUCUUCGAGAUAGUAAUUGGAUUCUUACCCAUUGGCCUCUUUGCCUUACCUUGUGACUAUGAUAAAUGGCAUCUUUUAAAAAUUCUCACAAUAAUCUUGCACUAUGUAUGCGAUUAUCCCUGUAUUACGGAUGAGAAAAUAGGCACCAAGAGAAUAAGUAACUUGAUUAAAAUAUGCAAGAGCACCAUAGGUAGGACUGAAACCCAAGCCUGUCCAGUUUCAAAUCCUUAGCUAUCAUCAAAGUGAGAAUCUUAAUUGUUGCUGAUGUGAUCACAUCAUUAAGAAUAAAGUUUUCUUGGAUGGUUCAGGCUCUAACUGCAUGAAUCUCAAUCAGGGGUCAGCAAACUUUG